AUUGAACGCUGGCGGCAUGCCUUACACAUGCAAGUCGAACGGCAGCACGGGAGCAAUCCUGGUGGCGAGUGGCGAACGGGUGAGUAAUGUAUCGGAGCGUGCCCAGUCGUGGGGGAUAGCGCAGCGAAAGCUGUGCUAAUACCGCAUACGAUCUAUGGAUGAAAGCGGGGGAUCGCAGGACCUCGCGCGAUUGGAGCGGCCGAUAUCAGAUUAGGUAGUUGGUGGGGUAAAGGCCCACCAAACCUGCGAUCUGUAGCUGGUCUGAGAGGACGAUCAGCCACACUGGGACUGAGACACGGCCCAGACUCCUACGGGAGGCAGCAGUGGGGAAUUUUGGACAAUGGGCGCAAGCCUGAUCCAGCAAUGCCGCGUGCAGGAUGAAGGCCUUCGGGUUGUAAACUGCUUUUGUACGAGACGAAAAGACUCGCUCUAAUACAGUGGGUACAUGACGGUAUCGUAAGAAUAAGCACCGGCUAACUACGUGCCAGCAGCCGCGGUAA
rnacentral:rRNA from 1 species